rnacentral:rRNA from 1 species
CGUGUAGGCGGUUCGAUAGGUCCGGUGUGAAAACUCGAGGCUCAACCUCGAGAGGUCGCCGGAAACCAUCGAGCUAGAGUCCGGAAGAGGAGAGUGGAAUUCCUGGUGUAGCGGUGAAAUGCGCAGAUAUCAGGAAGAACACCCAUGGCGAAGGCAGCUCUCUGGGACGGUACUGACGCUGAGACGCGAAAGCGUGGGGAGCGAACAGGAUUAGAUACCCUGGUAGUCC